rnacentral:lncRNA from 1 species
UUGCACCACUGCACUCCAGCCUGGGCGAUACAGUGAGACCCAGUCUCAAAAAAAAAAAAAAAAGAGUCUUUUUUGAUGGUGGACAUCUUCCAAUGAGCAUUCACAUGGGACAGAUUUUUUUUUAGUUCUACCGUUGUUCUGAAAGCUCUAUGUAUGUUCCUCUUCCCUAAAAAUCUUUGUCACCAAGCCUCCAGAUUUAUUCCUUCUAAAAUGUUGAAAUUCCAGCUAAUUCCUUAGUUGUUACCCAGGAAACAAUGCAGAUCCUGGUCCGAGGAUGCAGCUCCUUCCAGGCAGCCUGGACUGUGAGGUGUGCUCCAUUGCUCUUCAGGAACCGUCCUUGAGAGGCGUUCCACAGCAGGCCAGACCUGGGGGGAGCAGGUGGGCCAGGCGGAAAGCACAGCACAAUUUGAGAGAUGCUGAGUACUCAUGACUCUGUGUAAGCACCUGAAUUCAGCCCUCAUGGUCUUUUCUGAGCUGUCAGUCAUUUAUCUCUAUUUAGUCAUUUUGCGAAUUGGAGUUAGCUUCCUUCCCUCUACACUCAAAGACGGCAUGUCAACAUUUUAGGCCUCUGGGUGGAAUGAACUCCCAGUUUCCUGGGAGGGAGCUGAUUGGCAUCUAUUCGCCUCUUCCUAGUUUUGUGGGGUUUCCCAGCAUGUGGAGUCAUAGAGAAAGACUGGUCCCACCUUCUAUGUAAUGCCCAAGAGAAUAGAUGACUCUCUGUCCACCCCCACCCUGGCAUCCAGGGCUUCUGGACAAGACCUAGGCUGGCUAAUUGGCUGCUUCCACAUGGGAUCCUGAAUCUGGAGCAAGUGAGGCAAAGCCCAGGGUGCUUAGAAUCCAUUCUCAGUGAGAGCAGCAGGACUGCCCGGGAGGGGAAUAGAGACGGGGACGACCGAGUCCUGCACCAGCAGAGAUGACGUCCGCAGGUGGCGGGGCAGCGCUGUGGCCGUGUCACUCCUCACAAAGCAGGGCUCUUGUGCUCGCAGCCUUCGAUACCGUCUCACUGUCUUGGCUUCUAUUUAUCUUCCAAGCCAAUUUCCAGCCUCCUACACACGUGGGGUUCUUCUGGUAUCAUUCCAGUGAAUUUCAUGUUGUUUUCUGCCCUAAGAAAACAGAGUUGGUACCUCUGCUCGACCAAGAAGCCUGAUUGAUACAGACUGAGAGCUGCAGGCUGUGUUUAUUUGCUUCAUUAACAAGAACAACUUAGGAAUGGCAACUUCCAUUGAUGAGCUUCCUACUUUGUUCUGCGGUUGGAAAACAAACAGUUGUUUCCCUGUUGACGACUGGCCACACUGGAGAGGUGAACAGUUCACUCUCAAGGCCAUACUGACUUGAACACUGGCUGUCUAGAAACAGAGAGGCAGGCAGCGGCAGACAGGAAGAGAGAUGGAGCAGAGUCCUCCAGCGGGAGCUGCACCUCGGAAGCAUCCUUAGAUGCGGCUUGGAGUUGGGAUCCUUCAAUUCCCCUCAGGAGAGUCAGCCAAAAAUAUCAACAGCCACAAUUUAUUGGACGCCUUCAGGAGAAAUGUCAAAGGCCUUUGUCCAAAGAAGGAACCAGAUUGGGGCCAACCUUUCAGACGGAUGUCCAUGGGAUGCUCGAGCUGCCUUUCCCCAACAAGUGGUGUCAACAGGGAUCUGGAGAGGUCGUGUGCUGGCCUCCAGGGGGUACCCCAGGGAACGGUGGGAUGUGAGAGUGACAGACCAGGAGGAUGGGGGCCUUUAUCAGUCAAGUGCUGUUCUGUCCCCACCAUCCUUUAGCUGGUGAAUAAUCUCAGGGGGAUUAUUAAAAGCCCAGAAGCAAAGAAGCAUUUGAAAGGUCCGUAUCUAGGAGUCUGGUUUCUCAGAGGAUCAGGGAGGGAUAAGAUUGGCUAAAAGACAGAUUUGGGACUUACUAUCAGAAAAGAAUCACUAGGAAAAUCUAAUAUUGGUACAUGGAAAAGCAACAUGUGGAUUGAAUGAUGGGAUUUCCUGUGAAGAAAAGGUAAGGCAUGCAAGCCAGACAGGACAGAAUGAUGGGCGAAAAUCAAGCCACGCACCUCAAACUCCUCUCGAGCUGAGAUCCAGAAAGACAGGGGCAUGGAAUUGCUGCUGGGUCUGGCAGGGGGCAAGAGCCAAACAGAUGAAGGGUACAUGUGACUGCCAUUCAGGGCCACGAUAGAGGAAAUGAUCAGAAGUCACUUUCUAGAGGCUGUAGAUGGGAGUUUGAUAAGGACCAUGGGGGACAGCUGAGAUCUGGGCAGAUUUGAGAAGGGAGAGCAGAACAGACUGCGUCAAAAGUGGAUCCGUGAGUUUCCUGGCGACCCAGGUAUAGAAGGGAUGCAGGAGUGGCCUGUACUUUCAGAAGCACAUGCAGGAGGAUGCUGGUCUGGGACUGGAGAUGAAAGAGGUCCAGAGAAAAUGGGACACGCUCAGACAGGGGAGCUGUGGGUGGAGUUCAGGACAAAGUCUGAUGUAAGGCUCAUGGAAGACCUUCCUGAAGGAAUUGCCCCUCUCCAGGAAGUAAGGAGGGUGGAUUUGUUUCCACAGUGGGAAUUCCUGGCAGGUCCAGAACUUCUUGACUUUCUGUCUCUCAAUACUGUAGACCUGCAAGAUGGAUAACAGAGGCAUUAGGGAAACUGAUGCCUACGCCACAAAGUUUAAAUACAGCACAAGGAAAGAAGCUACUUUGAUCCAGAAAACACUGCUAACCCCAUCCAAGACUGAGAUGGAGCAGGGCCCUAUGGGGUGAGAUAAGCGUCUGAGGAGCAGGCUGCAGGGAGGAAUGUUCCAGCUGCCACUGAAGCAACACACGAGGCUGAGGCUUGAAAGCUCAAAGGCCGAGGGAGCCGUAGCUUUGGGAAGGAGCAGCUGAUGGGGACGAUGGGUCACCUAAGCCGAGCUGUACCCUCGUCUGCUCCACCUCGAGUUUGAAUUCAACAAGUCUAUUGCUCCAGUGUUUUCUGAAUUAUCUGCAUAUUCAGAAUUCAGCCUGCGGAGCCUCAGCUCUUCUGAAUAUUUAAAUGACGCUCAGUUGCGAUCUGCAUCUCUCAUCAUGGUGUCUGACCCAAAGAUCACAAAGCUGAAGUCUAGCAAAUGACAGGAAGAACUAAGAGAAAGUGCUGCUGCAAAAAGAGUUUAAUGAGAGGGAAACUGAGGCUCUGAGAGAGGAGUGACUUGUCCAGGGUCCUGUGAUGGGAGACUGAGCAGAGUGGGAAUGAGACUGAGUUGGAGUGGAGUUGGCCUCCACUCUGUUUACUAAGAGCUGUGUGUCCCUAGGUAAGUCACUUUCCCUCUCUGGGCCUCAGGUUUUUUACCUGAUAGAUGGGCUUAGAGUCUCUUCUGCUGAUCCCCCAGGGUUGCAGGCAGCCAGUGAGGUUCUGAGUACUGUAGAGGGGAUGCUCUCAGCAGUAGUGGCGGUGGUAGGGAGUUGGGAUUGCAAACCCAGAGGCCAGCAGAGGCCAGGCAGGAACUGGAUUGAACUGGAAACUCAAGCUGUCCACUUGGGUCCAGUCAGGAUGGAUACUGAUAGAAGUGGGGGUCUCAUGUUGCCCACCUCAUGUUUAAGAAGAUUCUAGAAUUAUAGAUUAUUUGAUGUGAAAUUUCCUUAAAUGUAAAUGUUGGUAAAUAAAGUAACUAUUUAAACGAUAUACAUGCAAACACACAUUUGCACACACACGCCUUACACACAAUGGCUGGUCAGAUUUAGUGCAUAGCCAGCCAGCUGGUUUUCUGCUUUGGAAUUAUAGGCUGCUAAUUUUUUUAUUUUUUCUAGACAUGGUCUUGCUUUGUCACCCAGGCUGGAGUGCAGUGGCGUGAACACAGCUCAUUGCAGCCUUGACCUCCUGAGCCCAAACAGUCCUCCCAUCCCAGCCCAGCCCAGCAAAUAACUGGGAUGACUGGCAUGUACCACCAAGACUCACUAAUUGUUGUAUGUUUGUAGAGACGGGGUUUCACCAUGUUGCCCAGGCUGGUCUCAAACUCCAGAGCUCAGGAAAAACAUUAACAUCUGCCAUUUUUCUAAAUUGAAUGUGAAAGAUGAUCCUGACAGGCUGAACAAAGAUGCUUGCUCUCUGUUGUGAUGUUUGACAAGGGAAUCUUCCUUCAUUUUCUCCUCUGAUGAGCCUCUCUACCAGAUAAGCAGCAGCAGGAACCAAACGUUUAAGAAAAAUGUAAAGACAUUAUUUUGUCCAUCACUUAACAUUUUUAUGAACAAGUUGGGAGGUAGCCUGCAUGAAUGCCUCUGUGCAAUGGAAUGAAUGGCCGGAGAUCUCACCAUCCCAGGAUGACUUUGGGGAAGGAAGACCCAAACAGCCCACUAUCACAUGCUGUCCUGCCUGCCUCAGGCCUCCUGUCCUUCUCUCCCUUGUGACCUGCAAACUAACCUUGAGGACUCAUGUCAACUGUCACUGCAUUGGAAGCCCUCUGUGAUAGUUAAUAUUGAGUGUCAACUUGAUUGGAUUGAAGGAUGCAAAGUAUUGUUCCUGGGUGUGUCUGUGAGGGUGUGGC